rnacentral:rRNA from 1 species
UACGAAGGGGGCUAGCGUUGCUCGGAAUUACUGGGCGUAAAGCGUGCGCAGGCGGUUCGUUGUGUCGGCGGGGAAAGCCCCGGGCUUAACCUGGGAAUGGCCGUCGAAACUGGCGAACUGGAGUGUGGCAGAGGGGGGUGGAAUUCCGCGUGUAGCAGUGAAAUGCGUAGAUAUCAGGAGGAAUACCGAUGGCGAAGGCAGGUCUCUGGGCUGACACUGACGCUCAUGCACGAAAGCGUGGGGAGCAAACAGG